CCGGGAUCUUCAACUUGACCUUGGAGAGGGCUCCGCGCCUUCGCCUCAUCAGUCACCCGGCGCGCUGACAGCGACGCAUUCGCGGCAUUGUCGCCGCGGGGCACGGGCAGAGCCGUCGGGGCCGGGCCGGGGCGCGGAGGCGCGGCUGCCGAGCGGCCGUCCCUCUGCAGUGCGCUGUGCCGGGCGGUGGCGGGCAGCAAAAACCGUGUCGAGCCGCCUUCGUGACUACUUGUGGGGCAGGCGCACCCCCGUGCCCCCGAGGACGGCUCGCGGCAGCCCGCCGAGGUACUACAGGCACCGCGGAGCCGCCCGGCCCCGCCGCCCGCCCCGUCGGGGCGCGCCUGUCGCUGCGCGCCCGCUGCUACCCGGCCCUGCCCUGCCCCGUCUCUCCCUGCUUCCCCGCUCCUUUUCGUCCUUCUUCUCUCAAACUCUGCAGGCCUCGGCCAGAUACGUGCGGGGCUGCCCGAGAAGCGCUGAGCACGGACGGACGGCCUCGCUUCCCUCCUCCGGGACGCGAGGCACCCCCUGGGGCUAGGGUCGGCGCCGUCGGGGGAACACCGCCGUACACCGGGGAGCCCCGAGCCCGGACGGCGGAUUUCCCUCGUCCAUCGCUCCAACCGGGGCUGGAGCGCGGCAACUGCAGCGCUGAGCGGCCGUUCCCGGUCCCUGUGGGUCCAGGAGGGGGGGGAAUCCGCCGGGGCGUCCGAAGGAGACAUUUCCCAACACUGCCUGCGCCCGCCCGUCGGGCGCGGAGUUCCUCAGUCCGGAGCUCCUCUCCGCCCGGCGCGCACCGCGGAGGCACAAGGCUCGGGAUCCCCGUCGGGGUGCGAGGUGUCGGCGGCGUGCACUCAUCCGUGCGUCCUCGAGGCGCUGCCUCUCCCCGGGGGCGGAGAGGCUCCGCCCGGCGGAGCCGCAGGCAGCUGCAGUCCAGGACCCAGAAGCACAAAAAGAACAAGUUUGAAAUACCAGGUGCAUCCGAGAGAACCACGACAGGGAUUGAUAUGUUAUAGCCCAGGACAUGAACCUAGCAAUAAAG
rnacentral:lncRNA from 1 species